UUUAUCUUCAAUAAUUAUCGGUUAUCGGAUUACCGGAAGUGUGCCCACCACUGGUCUUCGAGCAGAGAGUGGGGAUCAAAUGCCUUUCAUGGUGGAGUGAUUUAAGUAAGCAUUUUAUAAAAUGCUUCUGUUUUAAAAAAAAAAAUGAUGCUCGCGGUAAUCAUUAUUUCAUAUGUCUUUUUUAGACAGGACACGCAGACGAGACACUGUGUUCGGCGCCGCUGUCGAAAUCAAGGCUGAGGACCUUACUGAAGGAAGAACACACAAGGAAGCCUCGGCUUCACUGCAGAGAUCCGGUGGAGAUCUUCCAGCUCGUGUCAGAGAGCCACAUGACGGGAUUUGGCAUUACACACUUCUGGUGACAGGAGAUCGUCUAUUUUCCACCAACACACCAGGCUCGAAGAUAUUUUGGAGGAGUGGCAUUAAUUAUUUUUUGAGGAAGAAUCAACCCUGUUGCAUAAAAUGUGUAUUCUGUUUAACGUGAGGAGCAGGAGAAUUCAAUUUGGAGCGGUAUAUGAAUUGUUUUUUUGAGGACAAAAUCAACUUUGUGCAAAAUGUUUAUUGUGGUUUUAACGAUGAAACAAGGAGAAUUCAGGCUUGACAAAAUUACCCCCGGAGGUUUAUUAGAGGAUUUAAACGGCCCAUAAUCGACCCAGCGGGAAGAUGCCGGUGGAGCAGCGAAUGAGGGACAGACUUGCGUAGCCCGAUUCUUAAACAUUUUAGAACGGGAAAACUUCAAAGAACUACGUGUUCAUCGUCACAACUCAAAAGGUUUGCCGGCUAUCUGCUUCUAAGGUAUUUAGUCGUGCAAGGCAUAACCUCUGCUGUGAUUAUGACGGGAGUAAACUAUUACUCAUGUAGAUGCUGCGUUUAAACAGAAAUAUAUAGAUUCUUUAUCAUUUCCUCACAAUGUGUUUAGCACAAAUGCCUAAAGCUAUGGGGAUCCCAGCUGAAAGAUGAAAUCCUACGCAAAGGUUACUUUCCGCACCUGUUCAGUUCAGAAAAAAAUCUGAACUAUGUUGGCCACUACCCUGACUCUUUAGCUUACGGGCUAGCCAAUAUGUCAGAGGGGGAAAAGACAGGAAUUUAAUGUGUGGUAUGAGACCAAAAAAAAAAAGUUUUUGAUUUUAAAGCCGAUGCCAUAAUGUAUUGUGAUAACAACACAAAAUCCUGGCUGCAGCCUGCUCCAAGUUUAUAUCAGGAAUUCAUCACUGAACGCGUGGAUUCUUUCACCUGUGUUACAGUUGCCUCGGCAUGCAUGAAAGUCUUCCAAACUACUUUCUUGCACAAAAAUGCUGGCGAUCCCGUCCGGUGACAAUUAUAGAACGACCCAUAACAAAUAUCGGGUGUUGCCAUGCAGGGGUUAGAAUGGGUAUGCAAAACAUACCGAUCGAUCAUGUUCUAAACAGGGGAGAGAGAAAAAUAGGGGGUUAUUAUGUGAUGAGUAUGCUCAGAUCGACGGGGGAUAAAAGUGUGGGAGUUUCUUGGGUGUUUUUACCACGGCUGGACAAGAAACCCACUCGCAGCACCUCAUUUGGAGAGCUCUACGCUGUGUCAGAAAAAAUAGCUGCUCUGCGUGCUACGCCAGGCGUCAGCCUCACGUUAAUCUGAGAGCACGAAUGGGUCGAUAUGAAACAGAGGAUAUGAGAGCAUUCGCGUUUCCUCGCCUCGUUACCCCCCGGCUCCCCUCGAACCUCGCGAUGCUUUAUAUGGAGGUCAAACUUGUGCCUCCCGUCUGAGGUACACGGCUAAGCAAGGUGAGUGGCUCUGUUUCAUCAACGUGACCUUGUUCUGUCCUUACGUUAAUGUAAAUUUGACAUAUUCCACGGAAGGCAUCCGGAAAUUAUCGACAAAAAUUUCCAAGAUCCCAGAACUUAUUUCGGGCUCAUCAAAGCUGUCAUGUAUCCGCCCCAGGGAUUAAAAUUUCCCGUCCUCCCACACAGAACCCCUCACAGUAAACCUGGGUGUUUGCUGUGUGUCGUGCGUGCGCGGAUCAAAAUAAUCAAGCGGGACCGUGCACGCACAGCAAGCAGAGAGCUUUGUGUGGAAGUUGGACGACCCCAGAAUUUCACAAAGCUCUGGGUACAGGCUACAUUGUAGCUAAGAUUUUUGAAGUCUGGCAUUUUGAGGAUAAAAGCGAUAAAAUCUUUGAGGAUACAUAAACACCUUCUUAAAAUAUAAGCAUUUCCCUCCUGAAUUCAAUAAAAAACCCUGAGAGCAGAGAAAAAAUAUACCAGACUACGGGGUGAAUCAGGACAUUCGCUUGGAUCCAGAAAAACAUCACUCACAAUCCUGCAAAACGACACAUGGCAAAGAUUCGUCUCAACUCUGGGGUAAAUUCACCCAGAGGACGAAUCUAACGCAGACCAAACUCAUCAGAAAUGCGGAUGAGCUGUUCAGCGUUUUCUGAUCAGUACGAUACUCACUUAUCUAACAUCCUCAGCAGUCGGGUGGCUAUGGUUCAAUGGAGGUACGGUCCUCGGUAUGUCACCCGACCGGGUCAAGCCAACAAUACUAUUAUUGCGGCCUUUACAACCGCAUACGCGCGUUGACUUUGUAUGGUUUUAUGUAGGCUGUGGCACAACCCUGACAGGAUUCGUAUUAUGAUACUGAUAGCCGGAUUUACGUUUGUAGGCAGUGUGAAACCCCCGCUGCCUACCGGUAAUUAUUGGGUCAGCUCACAGAUGAGUAGGGCAGUGACACCAUCACGGACUUCGCCGCCGCCGGACCCAAAAAGUCACACUUAUAAACCCACAGGAGGUAAAACAGUCAUGCGGGUGACGGGGAUCACUCAAUGCUCCAGAGCUGUCAGAAAAUAACUUUGACAGCGUCAAAGAUCUGGUUGAGGGUAUAUAAAAGACCCCACCCUUGCAGCAUCUGUCAAAAACGUUCGCAGCAGGGAAUUAAAUGUCAUAAAAGCAGUUUCAGUCUCACCAAACAUAUCGUUUCAAAAAGCCUUCAGAGUGGUGUAUGACAAGCGAUGUCUUUUAAAGGACAGGGAAACCGAACCAUUUGGAUUUUGAAACAUGUCUUACUCUGGCACUACAGUAGAUUUUGACCCCAGACUUCAGCUCCCAUUCUCAUGCCUCAUUGUUGGACCCAGCAGGUCGGGAAAGAUGUGUUUGUGAAAACAUUGCUGGAAAAUUGUAAACAUGCUAUGAGAUACAGUAUGUGCUUGACAACAUUGUAUGGCUGUAUACGUCCGAACAACCUCUGUAUUCUGAACUGAGAGUGAUGAAUAAAAAUAUUAA